rnacentral:rRNA from 1 species
GACGAACGCUGGCGGCGUGCCUAAUACAUGCAAGUAGAACGCACAGUUUAUACCGUAGCUUGCUACACCAUAGACUGUGAGUUGCGAACGGGUGAGUCACGCGUAGGUAACCUGCCUGGUAGCGGGGGAUAACUAUUGGAAACGAUAGCUAAUAUCGAAUCAUAUUAAUUAUUGCAUGAUAAUUAAUUGAAAGGUGCAAUUGAACCACUACCAGCUGGACCUGCGUUGUAUUAGCUAGUAGGUGAGGUAACGGCCCACCUAGGCGACGAUACAUAGCCGACCUGAGAGGGGGAUCGGCCACACUGGGACGGAGACACGGCCCAGACUCCUACGGGGGGCAGCAGUAGGGAAUCUUCGGCAAUGGACGAAAGUCUGACCGAGCAACGCCGCGUGAGUGAAGAAGGUUUUCGGAUCGUAAAGCUCUGUUGUAAGAGAAGAACGGGUGUGAGAGUGGAAAGUUCACACUGUGACGGUAUCUUACCAGAAAGGGACGGCUAACUACGUG